UAUCACUGAGUAUAGCAACAUUUUUUGCCACAUCUUUUACACUAGGACUUGCAAUAUCUAAACUUAUCAUGAAUUCCACUUCAUCAGGAUAAAAUGCAGCAUAUAAAAAUGAUAUUGCCCCUCCUAAGGAAUGUCCAAAUUUUAUGAUUCAUUGAUAUGAUAGUUAUUUAAACUACAAAUUGAGUGGUAAUAAUUAAUCCACUCGCUAACCUUCUUCCAUUUGAAAUAUUUUACAAUUCUACGAAGUAGAAUAAUACCAUCCCAGUAAACAUAAUAGUAUUGACUUUUUGGAUAAUGGGAAGAUAAACCAUGACCAGGCAUAUCCAAACAAAGUACUGAAAUCUCAUCACAUAAUAAAGGAAUCAAAGUGUCAAAACUGCCAGCAUUAUCUUGACGUCCAUGCAGAGCCACUAUUGGUUGGAUCCCUUUAGGACCCCACCAUUUGCCUGCAGAUAAAAAUUUUAAUAUGAA